GAUUGAAUCCCACCUUAUACAUGCAGCAUUCGAAACGGAUUUGGUAACAAUUGUUUUAUGUGACAGCUAGUUGUUUUUAUUGUGGAGAGGGAACGUGUGAGGAAAAAGGGUUAUUAAACGUUGUAUGUCAUUGCAAUGAAGGCGCCGCCAAUCUCUUCAACGAUCCACACUUCCCUUGCUUUCCCAAAUGUGCUAUAAGAGCAAAUUGUAGUGAUGGAAUUGAUCUUGGCUUCGGAAGUGAUCCACCACCAUCACCACCACCACAACAAUCUGGCUCCCCUAGAUCUUCCGGCGGAUCAGGUGAAAUGCCGAACAGCUCAAGGGAACUCCAUAAACUAACUACCAUGGUGUUGGCAACAAUAUUUCUAAAUUGGAUUUAAAUUUGUAUUAACAAAUAAAUUAGUAAAAAUAAAAUUCCAUUUGUUUC